UAUAAAUAAUUCUACUUUGAAACUGCGAAUGGCUCAUUAUAUCAGUUAUAGUUUAUUAGAAAUAAUUUACUACUUGGAUAACCGUAGUAAUUCUAGGGCUAAUACAUGAGUAAAUCCUCGACUUUGAAGAGGUGUGUUUAUUAGUAUGAAAACCAUAUGCUUUUGCAUAAUAGUGAGUAAUAAUAACCUUUCAUAUCGUAUGUUGUAAUAACGAUAGUUCUUUCAAGUUUCUGCCCUAUCAGCUUUCGAUGGUAGUGCAUUGGACUACCAUGGCAGUAACGGGUAACGAAGAAUUUGGGUUCGAUUUCGGAGAGGGAGCCUGAGAGAUGGCUACCACAUCCAAGGAAGGCAGCAGGCGCGUAAAUUACCCAAUCCUGACAUAGGGAGGUAGUGACAAUAAAUCACAAUGCGGGACUUUUAGUUUUGCAAUUGGAUUGAGAACAAUGUAAAAGAGUUAUCGAUAAACAAUUGGAGGGCAAGUCUGGUGCCAGCAGCCGCGGUAAUUCCAGCUCCAAUAGCGUAUAUUAACGUUGUUGCAGUUAAAAA
rnacentral:rRNA from 1 species